rnacentral:hammerhead_ribozyme from 1 species
AUUGUCCACUACCUGCAGCUGAUGAACCUCAAAAAAGAGCAAAACUCCCUAGGUCCUGUAGUAGUGGCCAGUAAGUGU